rnacentral:rRNA from 1 species
AAAGUUGUUGCAGUUAAAAAGCUCGUAGUUGGAUUUCGGGACGGCACGGUCGGUCCGCCGCAAGGUGUGUCACUGGCCGGGCUGUUCUUCCUCGCAAAGACUGCGUGUGCUCUUAGCUGAGUGUGCGCAGGACUUGCGACGUUUACUUUGAAAAAAUUAGAGUGUUCAAAGCAGGCCAUCGCUUGAAUACAUAAGCAUGGAAUAAUGGAAUAGGACUUUGGUUCUAUUUUGUUGGUUUCUGGAACCGAAGUAAUGAUUAAGAGGGACAGUUGGGGGCAUUCGUAUUUCGUUGUCAGAGGUGAAGUUCUUGGAUUUACGAAAGACGAACUACUGCGAAAGCAUUUGCCAAGAAUGUUUUCAUUAAUCAAGAACGAAAGUUAGAGGAUCGAAGACGAUCAGAUACCGUCCUAGUUCUAACCAUAAACGAUGCCGACUAGGGAUCAGAGAGUGUUAUUGGAUGACCUCUUUGGCAUAUUAUGGGAAACCAAAGUUUUUGGGUUCCG